rnacentral:rRNA from 1 species
CCUACGGGAGGCAGCAGUGGGGAAUAUUGCACAAUGGGCGAAAGCCUGAUGCAGCGACGCCGCGUGAGGGAUGACGGCCUUCGGGUUGUAAACCUCUUUCAGUAGGGAAGAAGCGAAAGUGACGGUACCUGCAGAGGAAGCGCCGGCUAACUACGUGCCAGCAGCCGCGGUAAUACGUAGGGCGCAAGCGUUAUCCGGAUUUAUUGGGCGUAAAGAGCUCGUAGGCGGUUUGUCGCGUCUGCCGUGAAAGUCCGAGGCUCAACCUCGGAUCUGCGGUGGGUACGGGCAGACUAGAGUGAUGUAGGGGAGACUGGAAUUCCUGGUGUAGUCGGUGAAAUGCGCAGAUAUCAGGAGGAACACCGAUGGCGAAGGCAGGUCUCUGGGCAUCUACUGACGAAUCACUAGUGCGGCCGCCUGCAGGUCGACCAUAUGGGAGAGCUCCCAACGCGUUGGAUGCAAGC